ensembl:snRNA U6 U6 spliceosomal RNA
GUGCUUGCUUCAGCAGCACAUAUACUAAAACUGGAACGAUACAAAAUCAGCAUUGGCCCUGCUCAAGGUGUAUACACACACACACACAUGAAGAGUUCCAUAUUUUA